AAUCGGCGUACAGCACCGGGGACGUGUCCCCAAGGCGGAGCCGAGGGAGGCAAGCCACAGCAACAGCGCAGGGCCGCAGGGCCUGUAAGCCGGAAAGCUGAAAAAACACGUGUCGGGUGGAGUUUGGUAGGCCGCAAGGCUCGAAGAAGUCAGGCC
rnacentral:sRNA from 1 species